CACUCUUUCUUUGUCCUUUGUCUUUCUCACUCUUUUUCUGUCUCUAUCGUCUCUCACCUCUUUCUCUGUCUUCUUCAUCUCUCUCUCAAAGCAUCAGCAAAAACCCAUAGAUUUUGAAGUUAGAAUAUCAUUUAUUCUAUUAAUUAAUUUUUGUGGGUUUGAAGUAAAAACUGAAGUUUAGGGUUCUUCUUCUACAACAAGAUGGAGAAAGAUCAACGCAAGAAGAUUUUUAUAUCUUUAAAUUUUCUCUCUCUUCAUUUUUUUUUUGUUGGUUAAAUCUCGUGAAAUUUGAGUAAUUGGAUCUUUUUGCGAGUUAGUGGAAAUGAGAUUAAAUACAUUGUCGAUUUUUUUUAUGUGGGUUAAACUUGUGAAUGCUUUGAAUUUAAAUUAAGAUAUUUUCUAAAAUUUGAUUGAUAGGUAAUUCUUGAGAAAGUUGAAAAAGGUUAAGAAGCAAUAAUCAGAAUUUGGCCAGGCGCUAUUUUCCAUUUUAGCUUAUUAAAAACCGAAGGUGCUAAGCUUGUGGGUUCAGUUGUUGAAAUUCACAACAAGAUAAAAAUUUAGGUUAUUGCGUAUUUUUUUAUUUGAGAUUUUAGGAUUAUUGAUUUGUCAAAUUAUUAAUUGCAAUCCUUGGUAAUUUGCAUUUGUAUAUUGGUAGGUUAUUGGUCAUGAUGGAAUGAAGUUUGUUAUCGGUUCCGCCAUGGCUAGGGUUUUCACGUGUGCCGAAUUCCUUUUUCCUAUCAUCUCAAGCUUCACGAGACGGCCAAACUUUAGCUAUGCCAGAUGAAGUUCUUCUUUCUCUCUCCUUCCUUUAUGUCUCAGAGAAAUUUUGAGUUGAUAACAAUUGAUUCUAAACUUAGUGACCCACACGAUAGCGCAAUUGAAAGGUUUAGGAGUAUUAACAACAAACAAAAACCUAGGCAACAAUAACACCGACCCAUUGUUGCUUACUUGCUAAAGUAGUUUCAGGUUACAGCUUGGCAAUGUUGAUAUCUCUUUUGAAUCAAGUCCACAUCAUCCACUUUUUGUUGGUUAAUGCCUUAUAGCUCUUUCUUUUAGUGUCAAUGAGAAUUUUUUUAGCUUUUUAGAUUUGAAAUGUGUCCAUUAAUGUCAAGUAUUUUAAAGGAUAAACGAAGGAAACCACAAUUGUGCACCCUAUCGUGAUUUUUUUAAUUUAAAAUUCCAGUAGCUGAAUAUCAGUAUUGUUUAACCAAUUGAUCUUAUCUUAUUAUUCUGGGACAUGAAAAGGCAGUGGAAUUCUCAAUUCUCAUUUCCAUAAAUAGGGGUUGUUUGGAAUAUUACGUUUGUUCUUUAGGAGUCACCUUUUGUUAAAUAUCCUUCUAAAGGUUAUUUCUUCUCUUUCUUAACCUUUACUACAAUAUGUUAGCAUUUGCAGAGGUUCCUUUACUACAAUAUGUUAGCAUUUGCUUUUGCCAAUAGUUGUACUUUAAGAGGUUAUUACAAAAGCCUUCCGUAGUUUCAUUGAUGGAUUUUGUUCAUGAGGACCCUUUUUAUCAUAUACCUCUGUUUACAACUGUUACUAACUGAUUAGGAAUGCUAUAAUUGACCCUUACCCGCCUUCACCUGAUAUUUAGCUAUGCUAAUUGACACUUUGCUCUAUGUCAUCAUGAAUCUUGUGACACACUUUUAGUUGAUGAAGAUGGUGUAAUCUUAUUUUCUCCCAUGUUCAAAGGUUUUAGUUUUAAUUUUGCUUGUGAUCUUAGUAAAAUAACUUUGUGGUUUUAUCAAGAAGUUGUUAAGGGCAAUGGGUUGAAGUUUUGAGUUUUAUAUUGUGCUAUGUGACUAUAACAAUUCGAACUAUACUUCAUGAUGUCUAUCUCAUUAGCUUGUUGAAUUUCGGGAAGAAAAUUGAGGUUCCAAAACAUUAAUAUAAUACUUUGUUUCUAUGAAUAUUAAUAUUAUUAAGGGGCCUAAUUGCUAACAGCAAAAUAAUGGAUUACAAUGGCUAAUGCAGCAAUACAUGGUCUAUAGUUGAUGUUGCUGUGUUUUAAAGACAUUUUAAGUCAGCAAUUGUGCAGCUCCUUAGUGCAACUCCUUAGAAGUAUACGAUUGCGGCGAAAUAAUUUCAAUUCCGGUGCUAAUGAUCUUACCGUGCAACCUGACCUACGAGGUGGAUAACUUGCUUUUACAUCACAGAAUAAGACUCCUUCUAUUGGCUCUUAGUUCUCGCUUAAAGUGGUUUACUCCUUCAGGCUGCAAUAUCAGCAAUUCUGAUGAUAGUCUUACUCUUAGCUGAUAUGUCACUGCCGGUAACAACAACAAAAAAACAUCGUUCGAGAUUAGGAAGUUUAAAGGGCCCUAAAUGUGUAGAUAAUACAGAAGUAGCUUGCAGAUGUAUCUAAUGAGCCAAACUAUUUUCUUGAAAUUGAAGAUCUCAAGAGUAAGGACGCUUCCAAGAGGAAGGACUUCAACUUGCUCAUGCAUCAGUACCCAUCAUUAGAUACUGGUGAUGAUGGUGGCUGAAAUCAAACAAUACCGGUGUUAACUUUGGGGAAGGGGUGAGUUGAGAUGAAGUGUUAGAUUUUUUUUAUUUGUUCUCAUGUAACAACAUGAUUUUUGUGCGCUUCUCUAACGCUUGUUGUAAUCUAAUAAGAGUUUUAAUGUUGCGAAAGAGAUGUGGCUGAACUUUUUGUUUAGAAUAAAGCUUGGUAUAUUUGUUUAUAGCAUUUUCAAGAGAAGACAAUCCUUAGGACACAAAUGUGGAGACUUGCAGUAAAUGAUUGUGGUCUAAGUACUUCCUUGAAUUCACUCUUUUCUUCCUUUCAUUUUAUUCUUCUUAUUUA